rnacentral:rRNA from 1 species
CGCCAGUCUGCGUGGAGCCGACCUUGAAAUACCACCCUUUAAUGUUUGAUGUUCUAACGUGGACCCGUGAUCCGGGUUGCGGACAGUGUCUGGUGGGUAGUUUGACUGGGGCGGUCUCCUCCUAAAGAGUAACGGAGGAGCACGAAGGUUGGCUAAUCCUGGUCGGACAUCAGGAGGUUAGUGCAAUGGCAUAAGCCAGCUUGACUGCGAGCGUGACGGCGCGAGCAGGUGCGAAAGCAGGUCAUAGUGAUCCGGUGGUUCUGAAUGGAAGGGCCAUCGCUCAACGGAUAAAAGGUACUCCGGGGAUAACAGGCUGAUACCGCCCAAGAGUUCAUAUCGACGGCGGUGUUUGGCACCUCGAUGUCGGCUCAUCACAUCCUGGGGCUGAAGUAGGUCCCAAGGGUAUGGCUGUUCGCCAUUUAAAGUGGUACGCGAGCUGGGUUUAGAACGUCGUGAGACAGUUCGGUCCCUAUCUGCCGUGGGCGCUGGAGAACUGAGGGGGGCUGCUCCUAGUACGAGAGGACCGGAGUGGACGCAUCACUGGUGUUCGGGUUGUCAUGCCAAUGGCACUGCCCGGUAGCUAAAUGCGGAAGAGAUAAGUGCUGAAAGCAUCUAAGCACGAAACUUGCCCCGA